rfam:Haemonchus placei strain MHpl1 genome assembly, scaffold: HPLM_contig0005227
GCCGACGUGGCAUAGUGGUAGUGGUCUCGCUUCAUAGGCGUACGGUGCGGGUUUGCUCCCCGCCGUCGUCG